rnacentral:lncRNA from 1 species
GGAUUCUGAGCAUUGCAGGACCCAGAAUUUAACCUUACCACAGCUUUGCUUGUGGAAUUGUUAUACAUCGUUUGACCUACGAAGAACUGGUGGUGGUGAAGAGGAGAUAAACCAUUUCAGGCUGGCGAUGAUGAACUGGAGGAAUGAGAUUUUGAGAAGCCCCUGUCAGAAGGUAUGAUUUUGAGACCUGGGUACUGAGUGAGGAGUCCCAAAUGGAACCAUUAUGUUGAUUGCCUAAGGGGAAGGGUCUUUGGAAGUUGAUGCAAUUUACACUUUGAAUCUCGAGGCAAUAGACUGAGAGUU